ACACUGCCUUUGAGCCCCCAUUACCUGACCUUAGGGUGGCCUCAGGGCCAGACUUCAGUGCCAGAACACCAGCUGAGCUUAUAACUGAGGUCACCAGCCCCCCUUGUCAGCGGUCUUUUCACCAGCUGGGUGUGACAUGU